AUUGAACGCUGGCGGCAGGCUUAACACAUGCAAGUCGAGCGGAGAUGAGGUGCUUGCACCUUAUCUUAGCGGCGGACGGGUGAGUAAUGCUUAGGAAUCUGCCUAUUAGUGGGGGACAACAUUCCGAAAGGAAUGCUAAUACCGCAUACGUCCUACGGGAGAAAGCAGGGGAUCUUCGGACCUUGCGCUAAUAGAUGAGCCUAAGUCGGAUUAGCUAGUUGGUGGGGUAAAGGCCUACCAAGGCGACGAUCUGUAGCGGGUCUGAGAGGAUGAUCCGCCACACUGGGACUGAGACACGGCUCAGACUCCUACGGGAGGCAGCAGUGGGGAAUAUUGGACAAUGGGGGGAACCCUGAUCCAGCCAUGCCGCGUGUGUGAAGAAGGCCUUAUGGUUGUAAAGCACUUUAAGCGAGGAGGAGGCUACUGAGACUAAUACUCUUGGAUAGUGGACGUUACUCGCAGAAUAAGCACCGGCUAACUCUGUGCCAGCAGCCGCCGCCGUA
rnacentral:rRNA from 1 species